rnacentral:rRNA from 1 species
AUUGAACGCUGGCGGCAGGCCUAACACAUGCAAGUCGAGCGGAUGAAGGGAGCUUGCUCCUGGAUUCAGCGGCGGACGGGUGAGUAAUGCCUAGGAAUCUGCCUGGUAGUGGGGGAUAACGUCCGGAAACGGGCGCUAAUACCGCAUACGUCCUGAGGGAGAAAGUGGGGGAUCUUCGGACCUCACGCUAUCAGAUGAGCCUAGGUCGGAUUAGCUAGUUGGUGGGGUAAAGGCCUACCAAGGCGACGAUCCGUAACUGGUCUGAGAGGAUGAUCAGUCACACUGGAACUGAGACACGGUCCAGACUCCUACGGGAGGCAGCAGUGGGGAAUAUUGGACAAUGGGCGAAAGCCUGAUCCAGCCAUGCCGCGUGUGUGAAGAAGGUCUUCGGAUUGUAAAGCACUUUAAGUUGGGAGGAAGGGCAGUAAGUUAAUACCUUGCUGUUUUGACGUACCAA